UCUUCCGCAAUGGACGAAAGUCUGACGGAGCAACGCCGCGUGAGUGAUGAAGGUUUUCGGAUCGUAAAACCCUGUUGUUAGGGAAGAACAAGUACCGUUCGAAUAGGGCGGUACCUGGACGGUACCGAACCAGAAAGCCACGGCUAAAUACGUGCCAGCAGUCGCGGUAAUACGUAGGUGGCAAGCGUUGUCCGGAAUUAUAGGGCGUAAAGCGUGCGCAGGCGGUUUCUUAAGUCUGAUGUGAAAGCCCCCGGCUCAACCGGGGAGGGUCAUUGGAAACUGGGGAACUUGAGUGCAGAAGAGGAGAGUGGAAUUCCACGUGUAGCGGUGAAAUGCGUAGAGAUGUGUAGGAACACCAGUGGCGAAGGCGACUCUCUGGUCUGUAACUGACGCUGAGGCGCGAAAGCGUGGGGAGCGAACAGG
rnacentral:rRNA from 1 species